GCGAUGACCGCGAUGAAGGAGAAGGUCGCUAGAAGAACGGCAGCGCACGACAGGAUGAAGAUCAAGUGGGUGUUAUCUACCAUUCAGACGGGACCAAGAACAACAUGCUGCCUCAACGGAGAAUCAAUUGAACGCGGAGAAAAUGCAUCUUCGACGUCUAAACGCAGCUGACGGGCACAUGAGGCUGAAGGAGGUCUGCAUCCUGCUGACGUCGUUGUGGACGCUGAUGUCGACGCAGUGGACGCCCGCGGCGGUGAAGGUGUGGUUCAGUC